rnacentral:rRNA from 1 species
UACGGAGGAUCCGAGCGUUAUCCGGAUUUAUUGGGUUUAAAGGGCGCGCAGGCGGGGGAUUAAGUCGGCGGUGAAAUUUUGCAGCUCAACUGUAAAAGUGCCUUCGAAACUGGUUUCCUUGAGUAUAGAUGAAGUAGGCGGAAUUUGUGGUGUAGCGGUGAAAUGCAUAGAUAUCACGAGGAACUCCGAUUGCGCAGGCAGCUUACUAAACUACUACUGACGCUCAGGCACGAAGGCGUGGGGAUCAAACAGGAUUAGAUACCCUGGUAGU